CCUACGGGAGGCAGCAGUAGGGAAUCUUCCACAAUGGACGAAAGUCUGAUGGAGCAACGCCGCGUGAGUGAAGAAGGGUUUCGGCUCGUAAAGCUCUGUUGGUAGUGAAGAAAGAUAGAGGUAGUAACUGGCCUUUAUUUGACGGUAAUUACUUAGAAAGUGACGGCUAACUACGUGCCAGCAGCUGCGGUAAUACGUAGGUGGCAAGCGUUGUCCGGAUUUAGUGGGCGUAACGCGAGUGCAGGCGGUUCAAUAAGUCUGAUGGGAAAGCCUUCGGCUCAACCGGAGAAUUGCAUCAGAAACUGUUGAACUUGAGUGCAGAAGAGGAGAGUGGAACUCCAUGUGUAGCGGUGUAAUGCGUAGAUAUAUGGAAGAACACCGGUGGCGAAGGCGGCUCUCUGGUCUGCAACUGACGCUGAGGCUCGAAAGCAUGGGUAGCGAACAGGAUUAGAUACCCCAGUAGUC
rnacentral:rRNA from 1 species